UUCUGUCAAAUGCAGCAGCAAUCUGGUUAAUUGCUGAGGAAGGAAAGAAGGAUUUUAUUUUACAUCAGCAGCCUCCUGCCUUGUUGAACAAUGCACUGACUUCAGCAGAGAUAAGCUGCCCGUGGAUAAAAACUCAUGUAAACCACAUCAGCAUGAAAAGUCAUGCAAACUCCCCAGAAUUUUUACAUAGAAUGAUUUGAACUGUGAACAUUGGUUAUUUCUUCUUUCUCCAAUUGUUCUUGCCUUUCUUACUGUGAAUCUUGGCAGACUUCUCUGGGGCGUGAGCUGAAGAUGAGACAAAAUUCAGAUGUCCUGCUUACACUGAAAGCUGUGGGAAGCAAAUGGCUCCGAGUCCUACUUACCGCUGUUUAAACAUCUUCAUGUGCAUUUCAAAAUGUCCGCGACGGACUGAAUACACUUAAGAGUGUGAGUCUGCACUGCAUUGCCCCUUGUAUUGUCAUUUACACUUGUGUGACAGGGGUGUCAGAGGCUACCAGAUCAGAUGGGGAAUGAUUUGCAUGCACUGUGUGCAGAGGCGAAAAUGACUACCCAAGGUGUAAGGCAUCAGAGACACAGGCUGUAGGCCUACAGGUACUGAAAAGGGCUGAUAUAUGAGUCAACAGUGUGAUGCUGUUGCAAAAAAAGCAAACAUGAUUCUGGGAUGUAUUAACAGGUGUGUUGUGAGCAAGACACGAGAAGUCAUUCUUCUGCUCUACUCUGCGCUGGUUAGGCCUCAGCUGGAGUAUUGUGUCCAGUUCUGGGCACCGCAUUUCAAGAAAGAUGUGGAGAAAUUGGAAAGGGUCCAGAGAAGAGCAACAAGAAUGAUUAAAGGUCUUGAGAACAUGACCUAUGAAGGAAGGCUGAAAGAAUUGGGUUUGUUUAGUUUGGAAAAGAGAAGACUGAGAGGGGACAUGAUAGCAGUUUUCAGGUAUCUAAAAGGGUGUCAUAAGGAGGAGGGAGAAAACUUGUUCACCUUAGCCUCUAAGGAUAGAACAAGAAGAAAUGGGCUUAAACUGCAGCAAGGGAGGUCUAGGUUGGACAUUAGGAAAAAGUUCCUAACUGUCAGGGUGGUUAAACACUGGAAUAAAUUGCCUAGGGAGGUUGUGGAAUCUCCAUCUCUGGAGAUAUUUAAGAGUACGUUAGAUAAAUGUCUAGACCAUCCUGGAUAGACAGUAUUUGGUCCUGCCAUGCGGGCAGGGGACUGGACUCGAUGACCUCUUGAGGUCCCUUCCAGUCCUAGAAUCUAUGAAUCUACUCCUGCUUUGUUGUUUCUUUUUAGUUAAUUUAAUUCAAUAACUAAUAUUUAAGAAUAGCUACAGCAAAGAAGGUGGAUUUUGCAGUAGAAGUGAGUUUGCCGAGUGGCUCUCACUCUGGUUCUUAGCAGUUACUUUCUUGUAAGUUUCCAACAGACAGUGGGUGAAAUUCUCCCUGGCAUCCUCGGCAUGAGGGCUAGAAUGGGAUUCAAGUGGUGCAUAAGCCUUGGGGUGGUCCUCUGCACCGGGAUGGAUUUCAUCCAACAUGAGGAUGAAAAAAGGAUACACCAAAAGCCAUCAUACAAUCAGUUUAUAGAAUCAUUGGAGGUGGGCAAACCAGAGAGCACAUGGCAUUAGGCUUUGGUGAAACAUAGAUUCCAUUUUCUAGGCAGCUGAAGUAGGACAAAUGUAACAGAACUUUCAAGUAUCUCACCUCCCCAGGAGCAGAGAGAAUUAGUAUUCAAGUGUGAGAUAAAUACUUGAGUGUUACUCACUGCGCAAACUGGCCUUUAACAAUGAUCCUCAAUAACUUUACUGACCAGUAUCUCAGGAGUAUUAGUCUCCAAUAAAACACAGAUAUUUUGGGAAGGGGACCUUUUCGAUUCAAUGUGAAGCAAUAGUAGGGUGACCAUGAUUCCCAAAGGGAAAACGGAACACUGCGUGGGGCUAGCCCAAGCCCACGCUCCCCCUACACAGGGCUGGCCCGAGCUGCUCGCCCGAACAUUGACCCCCUCCCCGCACGGGGCUGGGGUCACUGCUUGCCCGAGCCCUGCCUGCCCAUCCCUCUCCUCCCCCCCUCUCCCCACGAGGCUGGGGCUAGCGUUGCUGCUCACCCGAGCCAUGCCUGCCCCCUUUUGCCCCCCCAAAAGUCUGAGGCUGGCGUCGCUGCUCGCUCAAGCCCUGCCUGCUCCCCGCUGGAGCCCUGCCUUCCCCCCGCACAGGGCUGUUUGCUCUUGCCAACUUGAUGAGUUGGCAAAAGCAAACAGGACAAAUGCCCACUUUUGUCAAAAAAUGUCAGGACGGCUGGAACAGGGCUUUAAAAAGGGACUGUUACGGCCAAAAGGGGACGUACGGUCACCCUAAGCAAAUAGCCAGACCAAUUAAAAACUGCCGGGACUUUUCUUUUUGUCUGGCUGCUCCUCUCAACCAUGAAUUCCGUUUGAGUCAGUCUUACUCCCAUCUGUGCUCCCCUUCUGCCAUUGUGGACAGACUCAGAUUGUUGCCCUGCAAAUUGAAGAAAUCUGGGUGAGCCUAGAAAAGCUGCUAACUUCCUCCUGGAUGCCUUUGCCUCUGUUGAGGAGGGCUUAUGACUAACAAGCAGCUCUUCCAAAACUUCAGUAGACGUUUCGUAUCCUCCUGUGGCAUAAGCAGGCUCUGUAAUCAUACCCUAGUGCCCUCAGCCCAAAAGACCAGGGUUAGGUCUCCCUUCAGAGCAUCGCCUGCUAUAUCAAACAGCCAGCACAGGCUACUGUUGCAGCAGCAGGAAACCUUCCUACUUCUGUGAAGCUCCCAGGCCUUGCUGAAGGGGGGAAGACUCUGGAUUCACAAGCUCAAACAUCCUGUAAGUCAAAUAUUUGAACUAGCCAACCUUGCUUCAAGGCACCGUGGGCUGCCAUCUAAACCCAGUUCAUUACAAAAAGUACUGGAGCACUGGUACUUUCCAGAUAACUGUAACCCUAUCAGCUAGCUGUAUCUGACCAAUACUGUGUCAAUCCUAUAAUGAGCACCUUUUAAUGUUCCUGUCUUCCUGGAAUGACUAACCGUAUAAUGGCUCUCUGGAGUUUGACGCACCCGUGGAUAAGUCUGAGUUUGGGGGUGUAGCCUGGGUAGUUGAGGAAUACUGGCUCCUAUGUGUUUUCAUAGCAGACCAAGCCUGCUUAAAGUUUACAGUAUGCUUUUCUCUCAGAUUUCUAUGGCCUGGAUGUAUUGGAUCUUGUACUGGGAUGACUUGUUACAGUUCAGUAUUUCUUUGCUUACCUCAUUAACUCUUCACAUUCAGUGAAAGGGACAAGCUCAGUGCUAUUAAAUUAAAGGAAGCUUUUAAAGAUAUGAUUCUUACACAGACAUGUGCAAUUAGUAACUUCCCCUAGGAGGUAGUCUGUAAAAAAGAGUGAAACUGCUGGUGUCACAAUUAUGGAAAAUAAAUCAAUGUCCAGGGUUCAGAACACUGGGAUCCAUGCCAUGAAUCUUAAAAAGUAUGAGCAGUCAAUCUGCAUAGGACAGAAAUCCGAUUUAAGAGUUGUUGCACUUUUAGCAAGUUUUAUGAAAUCUGAAAGCAUCUGCUACUGCUGGCUCCUAUAUGGACUCAAAAGCAUUACUGUACAUUCCAAAUGUCUACCAAAUUUUACCAGUGGUGUUAUCAAAACUCUGUUUUUAUCCGUCUGCUAUACAACUCCCUGCGCAACUGUGCUUGGAAAACUGGGCACUAUGUUGUGAUAGAUAUUUUUUUUUAUAAAGCAAGAACCAAACUGGGCAUUGAAAGAAAUAUGGUAUUAAAGAUGCAAGUGUCUCCUGAUCACCUGAGCACGGGUACGGAGUAGCUGAGUUUUUUCCUGGAAUUUAUUUCUUUGUUUGUUGUUGUUGUUGUUGUUUUAAACCCAAGUUCCUUCAUAUUCAGGUCAAAUAGGUAUCCCAGCAACACCUUUUGUUAAAUAGGAAUUAUGAUUUUGUGACUGUACAUAGACCUUACAUAAUUUUCAUGGUAAUGUGCAUACUAUACCCUGCAUAAACACUGCAAAAAUAGCAUGGUCAUCAGUACGCUUUAUAGCUGUUUGUGGAAAAUGUCUUAACCUACAUUCAUGAUUAUAGUAUCCACCCCACUCCAAUGCCUUUUUAUACAGCUGUGGUGAGAUUGUUAUGGACCCAUUUUGUCAGUCAUGUUCAAGCUAAUUUACUUAUGUAUAGAAUUUAUAUAUUACAAACCUAAUUUAUACUGUGUUUUAACAGUUUGCCUGAACUGUCUCUGGUUUCUACAUUUUGUAAUGUGAGUGUCAAAUAAAAAAAAUCAAUGAAAUGUU